CACUACUAUGCUCGCCAGAAUAUUAUAAGCAAAAGCUUUAAACCCAAAGGACUUGACGGUGCCCUACACCAACCUAGAGGAGCCUGUCCUAUAAUCGACACACCGCCCGUCACCCAAACCCCCCUAGCCCACAGCCUAUAUAACGCCGUCGCCAGUCCGCCUGCUGACAGCUCACAAGCCGACACAAAAGCUAACCACUAACACGUCAGGUCAAGGUGUAGCUCAUGGGGGGGGUAGCGAUGGGCUACACUUCCUACACUAGGGCGACACCAAAAACAAGAUGAAACAUAGACUUAAAGAUGGAUUUAGCAGUAAGAUUUGACAAGAUACACCAACCUGAAGCCUGCCCUGGGACGCGU
rnacentral:rRNA from 1 species